CCAGGUGCGUCUCUGCUGCCUCACCCGGUGCGUCUUAUGUGUGCUUCACACUCUUGCCUCACUGUCUGCUUCUGCUGCCUCACCCGGCGUGUCUGCUGCCUCACCAGCGUGUCUGCUGCCUAACCCGGCGUGUCAGCGAUCUCCCAAGGUGACGACAAUAGUUUGAGGCACAUUGCACCUGUCUUGAAACCUGGCCAGAGAGAGCACCCCAGCGGCUGUAGCAUGACGAGCCCCUAUCCUACCCUCCUGCUGGUACUGGUGGCGGCCGCUGCCUGCUUCAGGGGGUGCCAGGCCGCCCCGGCCCCCCAGCUCCUGCCUCCACCGGAGCCGUCCACCUCGGCCGCCACCACCACCCCGGCUCCUCCGGUCGUCACACCCUCCACCAUCAAGUACAAGGUCUGCAUCAUCUACAUCCUCUGCCCCGACGUCGACACCAACACAGCUGUCUACCCGGGCAGCGACGGCUUGAUUGGGUAGUGAAGUCCCCGCUCGCGCCGUUGGAGGGGUAGGGAAGUCCCCGCUCACGCCGUUGGAGGGGUAGGGAAGUCCCCGCUCACGCCGUUGGAGGGGUAGGGAAGUCCCCGCUCACGCCGUUGGAGGGGGAGUGAAGUCCCCUCUCGCGCCGUUGGAGGGGAGUGAAGUCCUCUCUCACGCCGUUGGAGGGUACAUCACCACCACCACCACAGCACCACCACAGCACCACCACCACAGCACCACCACAGCACCACAGCACCACCACCACCACCACAGCACCACCACCACCACACCACCACCACCACAGCACCACAGUACCACCACCACCAUGAAGACUUGUGCCGUCUUCCUCUUGUGUUUAGUGGUCUCUGGCGCCGCCUUCCCAGUCUCCCAAGACGAGGAAACACGUGACAGUCGUCUCUUCCCUCUCUAUGUAGACCCAUCCGCCACAAUAUCGUCUUCCUAUUCUAAGACGUGGGGAGGGAAAUCGGCCAUCACGGUCCUCUGUCCCCCUAUUAUAUGUGGGUAAGGGAUGUACCUAUUACCCACCCACCCUCCAACGCAAACAAGGCAAAUCUGGGUAAAUGACCUUAAUGAUACAAUGAAUCAACAUUGAUGACGCUAAUGAUACAAUGAAUCAACACUGAUGACGUUCAUUAUAUGUUGCUCUCGAGAGAUACUGUUGAUUAAUUCCCCGUUACUGUAUCGUUAUUUGUAUCCCCGUUCAGUCCACCAACGUACUUUUACCGUUACCUGGUAAGGCAUUGUUUAGCAGCAUUAGAGUCCCCCGUUUUCUGUGUUUGGUUCCCCGUUACUUUACUCAUCAUUCUUGAGACGCGAGACUCAUCGCUGAGUCGUCAGUACCUACGUCACAGUUAACUCACUUUUGCCUCACUCAUGCCUGAGUCAAUGCUGGUUCACUGUCGGGAAAGUCGGCGGUGAAGCUUCACAGUUCUUCAAAAUUAUGUGUUUUUAUAGAUUUAUGAUUUUGUAUGAAAACUAUGUAAAACAAAAAACAAUAUAUAUAUAUAUAUAUAUAU